rnacentral:piRNA from 1 species
UCCUGAGUUCUAACUCAUAAAUAAGUAGUG